UACGGGGGGGGCAAGCGUUGGUCGGAAUUACUGGGCGUAAAGGGCUCGUAGGCGGCCAACUAAGUCGGACGUGAAAUCCCUCGGCUUAACCGGGGAACUGCGUCCGAUACUGGAUGGCUUGAGUUUGGGAGAGGGAUGCGGAAUUCCAGGUGUAGCGGUGAAAUGCGUAGAUAUCUGGAGGAACACCGGUGGCGAAGGCGGCAUCCUGGACCAACACUGACGCUGAGGAGCGAAAGCCAGGGGAGCAAACGGG
rnacentral:rRNA from 1 species